ensembl:lncRNA NSUN5P1 NSUN5 pseudogene 1
AAAGGCGCGCGGGAACAUGGGGCUGUACGCUGCGGUGGCAGGCGUGCUGGCCGGCGUGGAGAGCCGCCAGGGCUCUAUCAAGGGGCUGGUGUACUCCAGCAACUUCCAGCCUUGAUGACUUACAAGCCCUCAAGGGGAAGCAUUUUCUCCUGGACUCCUUGAUGCCGGAGCUGCUGGUGUUUCCCGCCCAGACAGAUCUGCAUGAACACCCACUGUACCGGGCCGGACACCUCAUUCUGCAGGACAGGGCCAGCUGUCUCCCAGCCAUGCUGCUGGACCCCUGCCAGGCUCCCAUGUCAUCGAUGCCUGUGCCGCCCCAGGCAAUAAGACCAGUCACUUGGCUGCUCUUCUGAAGAACCAAGGGAAGAUCUUUGCCUUUGACCUGGAUGCCAAGCGGCUGGCAUCCAUGGCCACGCUGCUGGCCUGGGUUGGCGUCUCCUGCUGUGAGCUGGCUGAGGAGGACUUCCUGGCGGUCUCCCCCUUAGAUCCGCGCUAUCGUGAGGUCCACUAUGUCCUGCUGGAUCCUUCCUGCAGUGGCUCGGGUGAGAUGGUAUGCCGAGCAGACAGCUGGAGGAUCCCGGGGCAGGGACACCUAGCCCGGUGCGUCUGCAUGCCCUGGCAGGGUUCCAGCAGCGAGCCCUGUGCCACGCGCUCACUUUCCCUUCCCUGCAGCGGCUCGUCUACUCCAUGUGCUCCCUCUGCCAGGAGGAGAAUGAAGACAUGGUACCAGAUGCGCUGCAGCAGAACCCGGGCGCCUUCAGGCUAGCUCCCGCCCUGCCUGCCCGGCCCCACCGAGGCCUGAGCACGUUCCCGGGUGCCGAGCACUGCCUCCGGGCUUCCCCCAAGACCACGCUUAGCGGUGGCUUCUUCGUUGCUGUAAUUGAACGGGUCGAGAUGCCGAUCUCAGCCUCACAGGCCAAAGCAUCAGCACCAGAACGCACACCCAGCCCAGCCCCAAAGAGAAAGAAGAGACAGCAAAGAGCCGCAGCCGGUGCUUGCACACCGCCUUGCACAUAGCAGAGGCUCCAGGCUGACUCCUUCCUGGUGGGAAAGGAAGAUGCCUGUCCUCUCCGUGGAGGACCCUGGGCCCUCACCGCAGGCAGCAGUUUGCAUUUUGAAAGGUUAUUGGGUCCCUUCCUCGGGCUGUGUUCUUGCUGGUGAGCAAAAGUGUUGCCUGCAGAAAUAAAAUGCAGAACGUACUCUA